AUAGUUUAAGUAAAACUAAAACAUUACAUUUUCAAUGUAAAAAUAAAAUUUUAUUUUUUAUAAAUAUA
rnacentral:tRNA from 1 species